rnacentral:rRNA from 1 species
GAACCGUCCAAAACGUUAUUCGGGAAUCACUGGGGCUUAAAGGGUGCGUAGGCGGCUUGGCAAGUUGGGGGGUGUGAAAUCCCUCGGGCUUAACCGAGGGAAUUGCGCUCAAAACUGCCUGGCUAGAGGGAGAUAGAGGUGAGCGGAACUUAUGGUGGAGCGGUGAAAUGCGUUGAUAUCAUAAGGAACACCUGUGGCGAAAGCGGCUCACUGGAUCUUUUCUGACGCUGAGGCACGAAAGCUAGGGUAGCGAACGGGAUUAGAUACCCCGGUAGUCCUAGCUGUAAACGAUGAGCACUGGGUUGGAGGCUCCUCCAUAGGCUUCCGGCCGAAGCGAAAGUGUUAAGUGCUCCGCCUGGGGAGUAUGGUCGCAAAGGCUG